CGCUGUCACUCCUACGGGAGGCAGCAGUGGGGAAUAUUGCACAAUGGGGGAAACCCUGAUGCAGCCAUGCCGCGUGUGUGAAGAAGGCCUUCGGGUUGUAAAGCACUUUCAGUAGGGAGGAAGGUAGUGUAGUUAACACCUGCACUAUUUGACGUUACCUACAGAAGAAGCACCGGCUAACUCCGUGCCAGCAGCCGCGGUAAUACGGAGGGUGCGAGCGUUAAUCGGAAUUACUGGGCGUAAAGCGCAUGCAGGCGGCCUGUUAAGUCAGAUGUGAAAGCCCGGGGCUUAACCUCGGAAUUGCAUUUGAAAACUGGCAGGCUAGAGUCUUGUAGAGGGGGUAGAAUUUCAGGUGUAGCGGUGAAAAUGCGUAGAGAUCUGAAGGAAUACCAGUGGCGAAGGCGGCCCCCUGGACAAAGACUGACGCUCAGAUGCGAAAGCGUGGGGAGCAAACAGGAUUAGAUACCCUGGUAG
rnacentral:rRNA from 1 species